rnacentral:rRNA from 1 species
ACGUAGGGUGCGAGCGUUAAUCGGAAUUACUGGGCGUAAAGUGUGCGCAGGCGGCUUCGCAAGUCGAGUGUGAAAUCCCCGAGCUUAACUUGGGAAUUGCGCUCGAAACUACGGAGCUGGAGUGUGGCAGAGGAAGGUGGAAUUCCACGUGUAGCGGUGAAAUGCGUAGAGAUGUGGAGGAACACCCGUGGCGAAGGCGGCUCUCUGGGACGGUACUGACGCUGAGACGCGAAAGCGUGGGGAGCGAACAGGA